GGAUGUGAGGGCGAUCUGGCUGCGACAUCUGUCACCCCAUUGAUCGCCAGGGUGGACUCUGGCUGGCCAGGCGGGGGUCCCCUUCCUCCCUCACUGCUCCACGUGCGUCUCUCCGGAAGCUGCGCGUUUGGUCCAAGAGGAAGACCAUCCCCCAUAGAGGAGGACGUCCUUCUUCGGUCAAGGGUAUUUGAAUAGCUGCGCUUCCCUGCUAGACUUCCCAACAAGCUCUCAAGAGCUAGAUUUUUUUUAUCUGCUUUUGAUAGUAAUCUUAUUAGGUUUAUUAUAAUUUGCGAGAGUAAAGUACACAAAAUAUAUGUCAAAUGAGUCCAAGAGCUCUUGUUGGAAUAAUU
rnacentral:snRNA from 1 species